UACAGAGGAGCCAAGCGUUGUCCGGAUUGACUGGGCGUAAAGCGCACGCAGGCGGGUGCGCGCGUGGGGGGUGAAAUCUGGCCGCUUAACGGCCAGGCGCCAUCCCAUACGGCGCGCCUGGAGCCUUGCAGAGGUCGGUGGAAUUGCCGGUGUAGUGGUGAAAUGCGUAGAUAUCGAGAGGAACACCAGUGGCGAAGGCGAGUCUCUGGACAUUUCCUGACGCUGAGGCACGAAAGCCAGGGGAGCAAACGGG
rnacentral:rRNA from 1 species